GUCACUCGUACGAUCUAAUUUCUUUGGGAGUUGGUGUGCUGAUGAUGUGGUUUUGUUGAAAGCUCUGUUGCUCUACAUAGAUCGCAACUUUCUCUUUGUUUUUUUGUUUCUAAUUACACAAACAUGUAACUAGCAUAAUUUUGAUAUAGGAUGGCAAGUUUUGCUGUUUUUUUUACUGUGGCUGUUUGGAGCUUAGAGUACCUAAAAUUUUCAACUGAUUCUCAACUUCUAAUUUGCAGUUGGUGGCAAGAUUGACCAAGGAAAUAGUUGAAACAUACCAAAUAUGCAAUCCACAGUUUAAAUAUUCUGAAGAUCUAAAUCCAAAAAGAUUCUUGACUAGCCCAUCUAUUGGAGUGCUUAAUGAUGGCUAUGAUAAUGUAAACUCGGAUCUUAUUCUGACAGUGAAUUUGUCUUGAUCCAUGUAGAGAAAAGUAGAAGAUAUAUUGUCAAAGAUCUCCUUGGGCAUGAGACAUUUGGACAAGUGGACAAAUGCCGGGAUUCAGAUACCGACAGUUUUGUUGCUGUGAAGAUCAUUAAAAUACAACCUGCAUACUAUCAACUGGCGUUGGUUGAAGUGACUAUUUUAACAACGUUAAAUAAGAAGUAUGACCCUGAGGAUAAGCAUCACAUUGUUCGUUUAUAUGAUUAUUUUGUAUUUCAACGGCAUUUGUGAUGCUUUGAACUUCUGGACACAAACCUGUAUGAGCUUAUCAAAAUGAAUCAUUUUAGGGGAUUAUCACUUGGUAUUGUUCAGCUGUUCUCUAAGCAGAUUUUAUGUGGACUGGCUCAAUUAAAAGAUGCUGCCAUUAUUCAUUGUGAUCUGAAGCCAGAAAACAUUGUUUUAUGUACGAGGUUGGUUUCUUACAUGAAGGUGC